CAUUUUCUUACACCGCCCUGGAG
rnacentral:miRNA from 1 species